rfam:Gossypium hirsutum cultivar TM-1 chromosome 7, whole genome shotgun sequence
GGUUAAAAAUUUAAUGUUGUAUUGUUAAAAAAUGGCUUGAUUGAUGAAAUAACUAGGCACGUUACUUGUACUUCAUGAUGACGAAUAGGAACCAGUUUCUAACAGUAGAAAUCAAUUAAAUUUUUAAUA